GACGUAGGUGGCGAACGUUAUCCGGAAUUAUUGGGCGUAAAGGGUGCGUAGAUGGCCUGAUAAGUUAGCAGUGGGAAAUCGAGGCUCAACCUCGUGGAAGCUGGUAAUACUGUCAGGCUCGAGUGCAGGAGAGGUUAACGGAACUCCAUGUGGAGCGGUAAAAUGUGUAGGUAUAUGGAAGAACACCAAUAACGGCGAAGGCAGUUAACUAUUCUGUUACUGACAUUGAGGCACGAAAGCGUGGGGAGCAAAACGG
rnacentral:rRNA from 1 species